CUUCCUAUCACUCCUUUUUGCUGUGGUUUUGUGCCAUCAAUUGGAACGGACUUAUAGUGACCCCGACAGGGCUUUAAAGAGAGUACAAAAUCCAAAAUAUAAUUUGCAGAACAUAGUGGGUCAAUUCUGAGAUAGCACUGUGACUCUCACAGCAGCCAGGACAUGCUGAGCUCCUGCCCUUAAGAUGACCCCAACAUUACGACCAGCAUAAGGAACUGAUUCUGAGGGCAGAGGUUCAGCAGCACUAAGGAAACUGAUGGACCCUGAUGUGGCAAGAAAGGAGGCAGGAGCAGACUGACUAGACAUGGCAUGAGGCUGAUGUGAAGCAGUGCCCCUUUUUCCAGAUGAAGCAGCUGCCACUGGUUCAAACCCAUCCUUUAUUUCGGUGCUAGAUGCUUUUGGGGAUUGUGCCCAACACACCAAAUUAACAACAUGUGUAUACAUGAGUGAGGGACUGGAAGUGCUCUGGAAAAUAUGGGGCACAUUGAAAAAGAUCCUUAUAAAAUAUUUUCUCUUUUGGAAUGAG